AAAACACUGAUUGGAAACCACAUGUUGAAAACGUAUCGUUGGAUUGGAUAAUACGGCGUACUUUUCUUUCUUGACAUUUUUAUUCGUAAUAAUGGUAUUUAUCUGGUAACAGCCUAUAAUUUCUACAUGGCAAUUUCAUCUGAUCAUGUGGCCUAAGCAGCUGAACAUUCUGCAAAAUGUCGUCUCUUUUUCCUGUACCAGCUUCAUGUUUGUCAGAAACACUUCAGAACAAUUCGGGAUUAACACCCUGGUAUCUGGUAACAGUCUAUAAUUUCUACAUGGCAAUUUCAUCUGAUCAUGUGGCCUGAGCAGCUGAACAUUUUGCCAAAAUGUCUCUUUUUCCUGUACCAGCUUCACGUUUGUCAGAAACACUUCAGAACAAUUCAGGAUUAACACCCUGGUGGAGUUUGAGCUUCUUUGUUGCUGCCCAACUUACACAUGGAUUUGACGCAGCCAGCUGAGGGCUUUAAUUCUUGUUGAUCAUGUAUGUUCGUGUAGUUGCUGUCCGAUGUGGAACGUUGUUGCAGCCUAUGCUGG